GCGGAGGAGGAGGCGGGAAAGGAGGAGGGCGGCGCCGCGACGGCGGCCGCCAGCGGCGGCGGCAGUGGGGAGGCGGCGUGCGGGCGGCGCCGUUGUCGUCCCCCUCGUCUCCUCUCCUCUUCGUUGGCGUCGUCGUCCCUCUCGUCCCCGCCAGAUCACGCCGCGGCGCGGUGGCCGGCGUCCUCCUCCUCCUCUUCUACGUGGCGGCGGCCGUUCCAUGGAGGCCGACGCUCCAGUCUAAGCCGGCCCGGCCUUAUCCUCGGCUUCGCCGGAGUCGAGCUCUACCGGCAAGGCGCUAGCCCGGUGGCCGUCUUUCGGUCGGCCCUGGUGGGCCCUCGCCACGACCGCCUCCAGGUCGGAGCCAUCCAAGCGAAGCACGGCCUCCAUGCGCUCUUCGCCUUCAAGCCCGAGGCCUCCUCCGGCGGUCUGCGCUCCUUACCUUGAACCUCCCGUCGCUGUUCCCCCUGCGCCGAGCAGCCUCGCCGACUGCACGACGGCGACCAUCGGCGCGCCCAACGCCUCGUAGCGCCGCGACGGGUCACGCACGUGGAUGGCCGCUACCAGUGUGAUGCAGGCGCCGCCCUCCUCCGCGCCUCUGCUUGCAAGCCGCCUCUUGCACUAAGCACACGCUGACACGCAUAAGUUAACAGUUUAGGACUUGGCAACAUCAGCUAGCAGUAGAGCACACGAUCAGAUGGCAAUCACAAGCAGAUUAAGCAUAUACAUGGACGAACGACUUAAUCAUUACAGUUUUUUUGGUUGUCACGUACCACGAAGCAUACCAUAUAUACUCCUACAUGAUGAUGCCAUUUUCUUUCUUACCAUGAUUUUCUAGCUAGCUAGCUAAUCGAUCAGCUGCUUGAUUGAUCAGUAGGCAGCAGCUGCGGCGGCGGCGCACUCAAUGUCGCCGGCCUUGUCGUCGACGACCUUGCCGCCGGCCAUGACGGUCUUGUACGAGUAUCUGGUGGCGACGACCACGUAGAAGACGAGGUUGGCGAUGCCGAUGCAUGCGAGAAGCCAGUAGAAGAGGUCCAGCCUGCUGUUGUUCAGGUCCUUGCCGAACCAGCCGGCGGCGCGGCCGCCGUGCGAGGUGACGCGGACGAGCGGCGUGAGUGGGCUGCCCUCGGGGACCCUGUACCGGUAGUGGCGCCAGCCGGCGAGGAAGACGGCGAGGGAGACGGCCACGACGGCGGCAGCGCCCCAGCCGACCUUCUCCUGGAGGUAGACGAUGAUGGUGACGCCGAGCAGGACGCCGGCGCAGAGCCCUCCUCCUUUCCCGCCUCCUCCUCCGCGCCUCCGCUCGCAAGCCGCCUCGCCGGCCGCCACGCGCUCGCAAGCCGGCCGCCGCUCAGCCCCGCAAAGAGGAGAGGAAAAAGAAGAGAAAAAAAAAAGAAAGGGAAAGAGAGAGGGUGACGUGGAGAACUGAUUUGUGGGUCCUCCGCUGACUCAGCCGUCACGUAGACUAAAACCGGGGUCAAAACCACCAAAGGACCUCGGGUUACCGGUUUUGUAUAGUUAAGGGACCCCGUAUAUCUGUUUUACAGUUUGAGGACGUUUUUUAUCCCGAUGACAAGUUGAGGGACCUUUGGUGUACUUUUUCCAACCGUAAUAUUCGCACGGGCUUUAACUCCGUUUAGGCCACGGCCCAAAACUAUCCCCGGAUGGGUGCGACUGCAACCUAUUUCAGCAGCAACUCCGGUGUCCGGUGUUCGAUGCCGGUUGCCCUAGCCGCCGCCGCCGCCGUCGCCGUCCUCUCUCUCCUGUUUCCUCGUUCGUAGGAUCGAUGAUCUAGUGGCUUUGCGGACAGAAUAUGCAUCGAUGCUCUCUGCGGGUUCUCAAGAAAAUACAGGAGAAAAGAAGCAUUGAUCUUCUUCUGUGAUCGAAGUGAUAGAAAUCAAUGGAAUAUCCCUUGUUUUCUUGGUUUCUGAGGGUAAAUUUCCUUGUUUUUCCAAGGAUAAACCGAUUCGACAUAAGUUAAUUACCAAGUCGGUUUUUCAAUUUCAGUAUGAAUCCAAUUCGAGCAUAUACAAGUAAGUGCCCUAAUUCGAAUCAGGCUCUGAGGCUGGUGAAAUUCCCUUUAUAAAUAAGCUCGACAAUAACACUGAUCUCAUAUUUGCAUACCAUCCGAGUGGAAAAGCCCCAUUGUCAGUAGUCAUGCAGUCCAAUAGCAUCCAAAGCUAUGACCAAGGUAGAUUCAACCAAUUGCCGGAUCAUAUCUUACUCUCUAUCCUAGAAAGAGUUGAUAUGCGCACAGUUCUAAGGACCAGUGUCCUGUCGACACGGUGGAAGCACCUGCCUCUUUUGCUCUCUGAUGUCGACUUAGAUGCAGAUGAAUUCAUCCACCAAAAUUCCUCAAUGUCGGCCGAUGAAGCGAUGGCUGUUCUAGUUAAAUUGAUGAGCAGUUUAUUUGGUUCUCCUCGGAGCGAAUCUAUCAUUAAAAAGCUAAACCUCAGGUUCUGCUUGCUCACUGAUUUGGAGACAUCAUUAGAUUAUUUGUUUAACAUCGGUGAGCUAGUUUGCAAUGCUAUUGACAGUGGUAAAGUAAAGAGCGUGGAGCUUGCGAUCACAACUGAGAAGCGGAGUGUAGAUUGCACGUCUAGUGAUAUGCUGCUGCAUGCAAAGAGCUUAGUGGAAUUUUUUAAUAUAUCUCGUAGUCUGUCAUGUUGCCUCACGAAACUCCUCCUGUGUACGGCAAGGUUUUCUGAACAAGAUCUGCAUCAACUAAUAAUCAGCUGUGAUCAGCUGCAGCAUCUAACUCUCUAUUAUUGUGAACUUCGGGAUUCAUCAACAUUGAAGCUGGAUAUGCCGAAUUCAAAACUCCGCUUCGUUGAACUCAACUCGUGCUAUGUCAAGACCGUAGAGUUUCUCUGCCUACCUAAACUAGAGCAGCUAUACUGUGACUCAUGGCGCUUAUCAGGGGCUCCCCUAUCUUUUGGUGUAGUUCCUUGCCUUGAGGAACUACGCCUUGUUUGCGACGUCACGUAUCCAGUCGGGGUUCAAAUUGACUGAUCUUCUUCAUGGUACUGCAAAUGUACAGGAUAUUGCUUUGGAUUUCCAAGGAGAGGUGAUUUGGAUUACACCUGAAGGAAAAAAGCUACGCUCCGCCUUGAACAAGAUAACAAAGUUAUUUCUGCAUGGGAUCUAUGUGAAAUUUGAUCUCCUAUGGACAUUGGUUCUCCUUGAAUCCGCACCAUCCGUUAAGGUUUUUGGUGUCAAGGUUAUGCUGUCAUUUUUUCUUGUUUUUUUAUCAUGAUUUGGUUUCAGCUAUGUUCUCAUUCAAGUCUUUCUGAUGAUUAGUACGCAUGAUGUCAAAUGUUUUCUUAUAUCUGAAUGUAGGUGUGGAACCAUGCAUGUGACGAGGGUACUGAGAAUAGAAAACAAUUGUAUGAAAGAAAUGAUUUGUGGGAUGCUGCACAGUUGGAUGGCUCGAUACAUUAUUUGCAACUAGAGAGGUUAGAAUUUGGUGGAUUCAACCAAAUAAUAAGAGAACACUUGGAUUUCAUAAGAGCUAUCAUUGAGCGUGCUCCAAACUUAAAGUCAGUUAUUUUAGAAGACAGAUCCCUGUGAAGACUGUGAAGCAAUGGACAACCCAAUUUAUCCUUCAAUAUCCAUGUUUCCACAGAAUAAUGAUGAAAAGAUCACAAUUGUGAAGCAACUCAAAGCCGGGAUGAAUCGCCCUGUUGAAAUAAUUUUCUGCUAACAAAGAAUGUAUUUCUAUGCUAUUGUGUUCCUGUAAAAAUGAUGAUUUUUUUUUUCGUUAUGCGUAAUGGGCUAGUCAGAUACCUAGCUUGAUUGGUAAAGUUA